AAACCAAUAGAACAAAAUAAUAAUAAUAAUAAUAUUAACUAUCAAGAUCCCUUCCUUUCCUUGUCUAUAACAAUUUCACAGCAACUCUAAUUACCCAUCUCCAUUUUUUUUUUUUUAAUUUUCUAAUCUUCGAUUUUUUUUCAAUCUCUUUGGCUAAAAUUUAAAUCCUGAAAUUCGGAUUCUCGUUCAGUUUUUUGUUGGAACUUGGAAGACACACAAAGCGGAAGAGACGUGCGAAUUUUGUAGCUCCCUUCUUGUUUCAUUACAUCGAUCGGGAGUUUUUAAGGGUUUUAAUUGGGGAAUCUGGUGCGCGUGGAUGUCAAUUGCACAAUCACCGACUUGAAUUUGUGUCAACUGAUUGCGUUAAAUCUAUUGGGUGCUUUCUUUCGAUGUUAAAUUAGGGUUUUGAUAGGGAAGAUGAUAAUCAAACGGACGGGGAAACUUGAAAUGCCGAGCAUGAAACGCUGCAAGAUCGAAGAAUCGAGCUACGACGACUACGAAGACGAAGAAAUAUAUUACGAUUAUGACGCGAAUCCCAAGCGAUUAAAAUCGAAUGGUUAUUAUUCCUACAGCGAGUUCGAAGAUUUCAGCAGCGGCUCAGGUUAUUGGAGCAGCGAGGGGUCGUACUGGGCCGGUGAAUUCGAGUCGAAUUCAAUGAAUUUGAAUAAAGCAAACAAAGCAAAACAAUCUAAGAAGAGUUCCAAGAAGAGUUAUAAGCCACCGUUGUUGAAAUCAUCUAGAGGAAGAACUCAAAUGCUUCCUUCCAGAUUCAACGACGCCGUUCUUGAUUCUUGGAAAAACGGAGAAUCGAGGGUUGAUUAUGCUGAUUCAAGCUUGGAGGAUGAUGAAUUUGAUAGCGCAAGAUUUGAAUUUGAUCGGUCGGGAUAUAUGAAAGAUAAGUUUGGAUAUGGAAGCUCGGAUUUGUAUCUAAUUAGUAAACGAAGAGAGGAAAUAGGAGUGGGUUAUGCAGGGAUUAAUGGUAGCCUUGAUUACAGAAAUUAUUUGAAUUCUUCUUUGACAUUGCCUGAAACAGAUGAGUUUGUGCCUAGGUAUAAUAGUUAUAAGGGUUUAGAGAGGUUGAGAAAAGAGAGAGCUGGAAAGAGGAAAGAUGUGUAUAAGCCUGAGGAUUUUGCUUUGGGUGAUAUAGUUUGGGCUAAAUGUGGGAAGAGAUACCCAGCCUGGCCAGCUAUUGUGAUUGAUCCUAUAUUGCAAGCUCCUGAAGCAGUCUUAAGUUGUUGUGUUCCUGGUGCUAUUUGCGUUAUGUUUUUUGGGUACUCAAAAAACGGAACGCAGAGGGAUUAUGCGUGGGUGAAACAAGGAAUGAUAUUCCCAUUUGCAGAAUUCAUGGACAGAUACCAGGGGCAAACCCAAUUUUACAAGUGGAAACAAAGUGAUUUUCAGAUGGCAAUGGAGGAGGCGGUUUUAGCAGAAAAUGGUUAUCUAGACUCUGACCAUAAGACCCAGCAAAUAGGAUACCCAGAUGCUCAACCCAGUGGCUCAAGUCAGGAUUUGGAUUAUUUACACUCUCAAAACCAGGGUGCAAGACCUUGUGACAGCUGCGGCUCAGUUGUCCCUUUAAAAACUAUGAAGAAAAUGAAGAUAUCUACGUAUGAAGCUGAGCUUUUGUGCAAACAUUGUGCUAAGCUGCGGAAAUCAAAGCAGUAUUGUGGCAUAUGCAAGAAGAUUUGGCACCAUUCAGAUGGUGGCAAUUGGGUCUGUUGUGAUGGUUGUAAUGUGUGGGUACAUGCUGAAUGCGACAACAUUAGCAGUAAACUUUUCAAGGUAGAUCUGGAGCAUACUGAUUAUUACUGCCCCGAAUGUAAAGCAAAUCUCAAAUUUGAAUCAUACUUACCGAAAAGAGAGCCAAAAAUCAAAUCUACAGAAAAAAGGGGGGAAGGUGUUCCUCCUGACAAGCUGACUGUAGUCUGCAAUGGCAUGGAAGGAUCAUAUAUUCCAAAACUUCACUUAGUUGUAUGUGAGUGUGGUGUGUGUGGGUCAAAGAAGUAUACACUCAGUGAAUGGGAGCGGCAUACAGGCUGUAGAGCUAAAAAAUGGAAGUACAGUGUGAAAGUCAAAGACACAAUGAUACCUCUGGAAAAAUGGAUUGUUGAAUAUAAUGCCUUUGGUGUUGAUACUCUGAAGCUAGAUAAGCGGAAGCUAAUUGGUUUUUUGCAAGAAAAAUAUGAGUCUGUUGAUGCAAAAUGGACAACUGAAAGAUGUGCCAUAUGUAGAUGGGUUGAAGACUGGGAUUAUAACAAAAUUAUUAUAUGCAACAGGUGUCAAAUAGCUGUUCACCAAGAAUGCUAUGGGGCAAGCAAUGUUCAAGAUUUGACUUCUUGGGUUUGUAGAGCUUGUGAAGCACCUGAUAUCGAGAGGGAAUGUUGCCUUUGCCCUGUGAAAGGGGGUGCUCUGAAGCCAACCGAUGUUGAGUCACUUUGGGUUCAUGUCACAUGUGCCUGGUUUCGGCCGGAAGUUGGUUUCUCAAAUCAUGAGAAGAUGGAACCUGCUGUUGGAAUCCUUAGAAUUCCAUCAAGUUCAUUUUUGAAGAGUUGCGUGAUUUGUAAGCAAACUCAUGGUUCCUGCACUCAGUGUUGCAAGUGCACAACUUAUUUUCAUGUGAUGUGUGCAUCAAAAGCAGGAUAUAGCAUGGAACUACACUGCUCAGAGAAGAAUGGGAUACAAAUGACAAAAAAGUUAGUUUACUGUGCUGUUCACAGGAGCCCAAGUCCCGAUGCAGUUGUUGUCAUGCAUACUCCUUCAGGGGUUUUUGCUGCCAGAAAUGUUCUUAAGAAUGAGAAUGAAUGUCUUAGAGGUUCAAGGUUAAUUUCAUCCAAGAAUGCAGAGACCCCUGAAUCCCCAGCUCCAGAGACCAAUGAGUUUGAUGCAUACUCUGCUGUGAGAUGCCGUGUUUUUAGAAGGUCACAUUUUAAGAGGGCUGAAGGGGAGCCUAUAUUCCACCGGCUGAGUGGGCCAAGUCAUCAUCAUAUAGAUGCAGUUAGUGCAUUGAGCACAUAUAAGGAAGUAGAUGAUUCUACCAUAUUCUCGUCAUUCAAGGAUCGACUAUACCAUUUGCAGAGAACGGAGAAUCACCGAGUUUGUUUUGGUAAAUCUGGUAUUCACGGAUGGGGCCUCUUUGCACGUAGGAACAUUCAGGAAGGAGAAAUGGUUGUUGAGUAUCGUGGUGAGCAGGUUAGGCGCAGUGUUGCAGAUCUUAGGGAGGCUCGGUAUCGUUCUGAAGGAAAAGAUUGCUAUCUGUUCAAAAUCAGUGAGGAAGUAGUGAUUGAUGCCACCAACAAGGGGAAUAUUGCUCGCUUAAUCAACCAUUCGUGCAUGCCUAAUUGCUAUGCGAGGAUCAUGAGCGUUGGUGAUGAGGAGAGUCGGAUAGUCCUUAUUGCUAAGACCAAUGUGUCUGCAGGCGAUGAGCUAACGUAUGAUUAUUUGUUUGAUCCCGACGAACGCGAUGAACUUAAAGUUCCUUGCCUGUGUAAGGCUCCCAACUGUAGAAAAUAUAUGAAUUAAGGUCUAUAGUCCCAUUUAUUCCUGGAAGAAGCAUCAAAGAGCUCCUUACUGAUGGGGAACCUCUCCCCUUCUAGAUAGUAUUUGAUAAAAUCAGAACUGAAACAAAUGAGGAAUCUCACAGUUUUUGUCAUCGCGCGAGCCCUAUGCCAUUUUGUGUAUCUUUUCUAAGGGUCAAGCAGGUAAAUUUACUUAAGGACUAGUUAAUUAACGAAAAAUUAUUUUCUUAUAGUUUUUAACGUUUUUGCACCAAAUAUCUGUUGGUUUUUGUUUUGUAUAGGGUAGUAUCAUGAAUGAUUAUUGAAU